AUUGCAUUUAAGACCGUUUUAAUCCAUGCUAUCAGUAGAAGGCUACAGUGACUGCAGAGUGAGACGAACUGAGUACUUCUCCGCAGGUGCUGACGCGCCUUAAGGUGGGACUCGCGUCUUGCCCGGGGCGGCCCCGAGUUCAGCCACGGCGACUGCGGUUACAGUUAGUGGCGGCGCCGGAGAUAUCAUGAGUCAGAGCGCCGUGUUAACGCGUGUCGGGUCCCUGAGUGUGUGUGCUCGGUACGUAGGGAUUAGUGUCACACACUGCCUGUCAUGUUAGUACUGCCGUCUGCACAGUUUGGGUACAGCAACACGGCGUGACAGAGACAGGCGGGAGGGCCGUGGUACAAAGCGCUCCAGGAGAUAGUAGGAAGGUCAGGACGCAAAAAAAAAACCCAAACUCCAGCAUGCGUGAAGAUGGGGUUUCUGCCAGGCUCAUGUUAGGGCCAGGCUCAGGCGAGUUACGAGCAAUGUUUUGCCCAGAUAAUUCGCUCUCUCCUCCUGCCGGAAAGGAAGUGCAAUACAGAAUGUGUACCUGAGUGCCGGCCCCUUGGUGUCUAAUUACUGCAGUAUUCUCCAGAUGGAGGAGGGAGGAUUUGGUCAUUCAGGACACAUGGUCUUUCAUCAUCACCAUCCCAUAAUGUCCUUCAGUCCUCCCAGUCAGCACUCCCUCUGUGUUGUUUAUCGUCAGUUCCAUCCUGAAGCAGGUCAGGAAUGUGCUUUAGUACAGGCAGGAAAGACAAAGACCUUCAUAUAGCCCAGACUGAAAUUACAGCAGACAGGGAAGAUAUCAACAGAUGGCAGGCCAUUUAUAGAGCACUGUUGAUGGGAGCGCUGUUUCUGAAAUGGAAAAAGAAAAUGUACUGCACGACCAGUGUGCUGAAAAGUUACGAAACAUCAGAUCCCUUCCAAUCCCCUGUCUUCUGUAGAGAGCGGAUAGAGAGCGUCUCGCACAGCAAGGAAUUUCUGGAGGGGUGCUGA
rnacentral:lncRNA from 1 species